GAUUGAUUCAAUAAACUACUGGAAAAUCUAGAAUACAAUGUCUACUGCCUUUUAAAAAAAUUUUUUUUAUUUAUUUGAGAGGGAGAGAGAGAAAGUACGAGCACAGAGGGAGAGUGAGAGGGAGAAGCAGACUCCCCGCUGAGCAGAGAGCCUGAGGUGGGGCUCUAUCUCAGGACCCUGAGAUCAUGACCUGAGCUGAAGGCUUAACAGACUGAGCCACCCAGGUGCCCCUGUCUACUGCCUUUUUAAAAAAAUGUGCUUAUUGAUCCUCCUUAAAGAAUGUAGAGUUUUAGAACUGAAGAGAAACCUAGUCAUCAUCUAGCACUAUUUCACUUCAUUUGGUAGUUGAGGAAGAGGGAACUCAGAGGGUCUGUAACUUGUACAAGCCACAGACCUAAUUGGACUUGAACUCAGUCUAGAGUGGCUUCUCCUUCCCUGAUAUCAUGAUAUCAGCACUAUUAACAGACUAGUGUAGUAUGAUUUUUAUAUUAAUUCAAAGAACUCUUAUUGCCUCUAGCCUCACAUGUUCUACUUUUUAAAAUGUACUUACUGGUCUUGUACGUCUCAAUAGAUUCCAACAGUUUCUCAGGAUGAAAAACCACUCCCUGGUCUGUAGAGGCCCACGUGUCUUCUGGAGUCCUGCCUCCCAGACUGUCAUUCAGGAACUACUGAGAACAGACAUGGAAUGUUCUAGUACCUUUAGUGAUGAGUAUGAGAAUCAUGUAGAAACACGCAACAAUCCAUUCAAAGUUGCUGGGGGUCACCAGUGGCUUGCUGGUGAUUGAUCUGGAAGCCUUGCUGAGUGGAUUGUGGGUCUGGCAGUCAUCAUCAUGGAAAGUGACCACCGGCGUCUCUCUCCCUCUAAGACUUGAAGUU